GGAGGUUCAAACUAUUCAUUUUCAAAACACCGCAGGAGCAGUAAGAAAACCAGUAACAGAUUCCAGUUUGUUUACAUAGGUUAUGGCAAUUAUAAAGAUAAUCUUUAGGAGGCUAUUUAUGUAUGGGAGUGGGCUAGGCUAGCACAGGUUUAGUAUUUGAUAUAGCAGACUAAACAUGCUGUUGAAUUCUACAGGGCCUGAAGAGAACAGCCGAGAAAGUCAAGACCAAGUGUCCAGGCUGAACAUGGAGGAGAGAAGAAAACCAGCUAAGUUUAACCUUUGACGACGAAGGCUGUCAAAACAACUCUAAUCCACCAACUGCAAACUAUAACAUAUCAAGUCAUCGUAAUUUUGAAUCGAGAUAGUCUUCACGAGAGUGGCUAUAUUAAAGCUUAACGCGCCCAAAUCGUC